ACAACAGCCGCAUUGCGUUGCUGUCUCACUGGCUGAGGCCGGCCCAGAGGGCUCACGUAUUGAUUGCUGUCUGGCUCUGCUCAGGCCUGGAGAAAGAAGGGAAAGGACUGAGAGUGAAAGCAGAGAAAGAGAGAGAGAGAGGGUGAAGGAGGAAGAGCAAGAAGGAAGAAAAGGUGGAGGAAAGGAAUGAAGGAAGGGGUCUUAAGUCAGUUUCGCAUUCCAUUCCAUUGUGCAAACAGAUGGUGCCAUCAUUUGGAAGAAUGCAUAAGAGAUGAAAUUCUGAAGUCUUUGAGUUUUGUAAGACAAGUGGAAGACAGGUGAAUGAGAAUAAAGAGGACAGAUAUUAAGACUCAACAUCAUAGUGGCACUGCGCGAGUAGCAGGACGAAAAUGUGUAGGGGUGAAAAUGAGACUGUAGUUUGCACAGCAAGGAAAGGUGGACAGAUUUGAAGAAAAAAGGAAUACUUUAUCAGAAUCUAUUCUUAGUAAUUGAAGAUGUACUGCACAACUAGAAACACAUCAGCUCUAACACAAAAUGUGCAUUCUACCUAAUUUCUACUUCAAAGACAAAAAUCAGGCAAUCAGUAAGCUGGAAGUGAGGAGGAGAAUGCAAAGUGGGAAUGGAAGGGGUGGGGAAUAAAGGAAAGAAAGAUCGAAAGGCAUCUUACAUCAACCUGCUGAUUCAGUGGAGUUUUAGUUUAAAGAACUCAGAAGGGUGGGAGGGUGGAAGAGAAAUCACCAGCUCCACAAUAGCAAUUAGGACUGAUGCAGUUUGGAAAGGUUUAUCGGCAGAAAGGAAAGAAGGCAAACAAGCGACAACAUGUGGUGGCAAAUAAUCAUGAUGGGCUUAUAUUUUUAAUAUGACAUUUUGCAUUCCAUCAGUAUAAAGCUGCAGUGAAGAAAGGAAAAAGAAUUAUGUGACUAAUAAUGCUCCAUGCCCUGGCACUUAUAGUGAGAGAAAGCGAGAAUGCACAGUAUUAUUACAGACUGCGUUAACUCUUGCACUACUGAUUAGAAGAUGCAGCUUCCACAUGUGGUAUGAAAAGAAAAGGCAAAGUGCAUCCUGGAGGAAUGUCAGGGGGUCAUACCAAGAAAAGAAAGAGCAAGUUUUAAGUGGAAUUGCCCCUGCAUAAGGAUAAAGUAUUGGAAAACCUCAGGAUCGAACGAGACUCUGAAGGAAGACACUACAGCUUUCAUCAAAUGCCUGCGUCGUGACAUACAAUAUCCACCAUCCAUUCGGAAACCUAGCUUAGGAAAUUAUAUAUGUGCAUUAGAGUUCUUAUAGUAUAUCUCACUUUCAUUAGUUUUCUUUAAAAUGUAAUAUGAUGUACAUACUGAACUCAUGGUCUGCUUUAUAUGUAUUGCAGUGACAGCCACUUUCAGUCUUCGGAAAAAAGGACUUUGUCUGAUUUGAUUAACUUUUACUUCAUAAAAGUAGGGUACUUCAUGACUUUGAUGGACUAACAUGUCCUUUCAUUAGCCUGGUUUUCUGAGAAAGAAAUAUUGCAUCUUUGCUUAUCUUACUGUUUCUGAAGCAAAAAAAGUUGGAGUGAGAUCAGGUUCUUGGAACGUUAUAUUAUAUUGCUUUGCAUAAAAAGUAGUUAAAGAAAAGCUUGUGACAGGUGACAAAAUUCUAAUUCAACUGUUUAUUAACACUUACAUGGAGAAUCUUGUCAUAAUAUUGAAACAGUUUAAACUUUCAGGUAAGAUUCUUGCUUCUUUUGUUCAGAACGCUGACAUACCUCACAAAAGGUUUGCUGUACUGUGAAAUGCUUUGUGGUUCUUGUUAUGACUUUUACUGGAAUGUAUGCACUUUCUGAAUACUGCAUAAGACCGACCAAUAUUCAUGCGGAAAGACAGUGCAGUAAACAUUUGUUUCUUUACCUAUUUUUUUCAGUAUUACUCUUCUGCUUAGAAAAAAACACAUUCUGAUUUUGCGGUAGAUGUUCUAAAGUUAUAGGAUGUUGCAAUAUCUGUUUUUCGUUUUAGACAGUAUAGUGUAAAUGGUGAGACUCACAGAAAAUUGUUUAACAGUGAAGGACGGAAAACUCUUUCAUUACCCUAUAUAAAAAAACAGAAGGCCACAUACAGCAGUUAGAGCAUGUAAUUAAAACUAGACAAAACAUGCUCUGUGUAAAAUUGAGCAAGUUUAUUAUGAAAAAAAGCAACAAACUAGUGUUAACUGUUUUAUCACGAAAGAGAGACUUUAGCUGCACUAGUUUUCACACAAGAUAUGUUUUAUAUUUAUUAAUUCACAUGGUGCUGGUAAGAAUGCAAACCUUCUAGUCUUUUACUUAACAGUUACAGCCCACUAAAGAGAAUUGUCUCUAAUUUGACCUAACAAAAUGGAGUAAGGCAUUACUUUCAGAGCUGCAUAGCAAGAUUCAAACCUGUGUGUGGUGCUGCAUGUGACUUGCUUACUGCUAAACUGUAGCUUUUCUAAGAUUAAGCUAUGCUGUUAUCUUUUGUGUUGUACCUAGUUCUGAUGUCAUUAUUUAAUCAGUGAUGAGAACAGACUAAAGAUGCUACCAUGCAGAGUGAAAAACAAUAUGUUGGUCAGAAAGCAGAUACUGUGAAUGUCAGUGAACAGGCAUUCACACAAAGCUACACAAGAGAAAGGAAAUAUGACACCUGCAAGUCACUGAAAAGAAAUGAGGGGAGUUGUGAUUAACUAUUUAACCUGAGCAGAGAGAUGUUUAAUAGAACAACUUCAAGUGGUACAGCGAGAGGGUUAAAGCUGCAAUAGCUAGCUAACAUAUGGACUGUGAGAAUCAUUACACUGAAAUGAAAACGGAUUAAUAUAAGAAAAAAAAAACACGCCGCAUCACAGAAUAUAAAUUGGCAUAGUUAAUCUGGUAAAUCUUUUCUGAAUGACUACAUGUUAAGGCAUCUGAAUCUAACUUUAUUUAAGAAAAAUGUAGAAAUUAACAUUCAUAGUAAUUCCAUGGUGUAUAAUACAGACUGUUUAAAAUUAGAUAUUUUACUUUCAUGGUUUCAAAAUAUAUUUUAUGACACAUUCA